rnacentral:rRNA from 1 species
GACGAACGCUGGCGGCGUGCCUAAUUCAUGCAAGUAGAACGCUGAAGGAGGAGCUUGCUUCUCUGGAUGAGUUGCGAACGGGUGAGUAACGCGUAGGUAACCUGCCUGGUAGUGGGGGAUAACUAUUGGAAACGAUAGCUAAUACCGCAUAAUAGCAGUUGUUGCAUGAUAACUGUUUGAAAGGUGCAAUUGCACCGCUACCAGAUGGACCUGCGUUGUAUUAGCUAGUUGGUGGGGUAACGGCUCACCAAGGCGAAGAUACAUAGCCGACCUGAGAGGGUGAUCGGCCACACUGGUCCUGAGACACGGCCCAGCCUCCUACGGGAGGCAGCAGUAGUGAGUCUUCUGCAAUGGACGGAAGUCUGACCGUGCAACGCCGCGUGAGAGAAGAAGGUUGUCGGAUCGUAUAGCUCUGUUGUAAUAGAAGAACGAGUGUGAGAGUGGAAAGUUCACAAUGUGACGGUAUCUGACCGGAAAGGGACGGCUAACUACGUG